ACCAUGAACAAGUAUGUACUGAUUAAUCACACAUCUUUUUCACAGUGUGUCUUUUUCUUACACAGACUAUUUUCUGAAGAGUCACUGCUGAUGAAGGGCACAAGUCAUCUUGCAAGGACUUCAAUCAUCUUGCUCUGUAGAGCUUCCAGGUCAAGGAGAGACAAGGCCAUGUAAAUGUAAGUGAUUCUUAAUGAGUUCUUUACCCAUAGCUUUAUUAAGGCACAAAUAACCAUAAAAUGACUCAUUCUAUUGAUUUUGAAUCCAGCAUAAGACUUAUUUCUAAACCCUGAAGAACAGUGGUUGGGAGAAAGAACAUCUUCAACCAGGGUAGUAAUUAUUGCCAGAGUAAGUUGCCUUCAAGAGUCAUUGUCAAGUAAUCAGUAAACACAUAAGAAUAAUUGCCCAUGACUUGGGAAUGCUCCUGCCUGAGCCAUGACAGGAGGAAGGAUACCCACACUAUCCUUCCUUCUGCCCAAAAGCUCCAACUGCAUUUCACUUGAACCAUGAGAAUGCAAUUCUCCCAGUGCCAGUGGAUCAUACUCCAGCAAAUCUGCAGUCACCAGGUCAGAAAUUGCUCCUGUAGGUCAGCAAUACCAGCAGAUCACAAAAAAAACCAAACCUCAGAGCAAAUCAGGCUAGUAGCACCAAGUAGUUGCAGCCAUCACCUGAACCCCACUCUGUUUAGCUGUGUGCAGCCAGACCAGAGGAGAGGGAUGAACACUCUCCAGCCAGAGCUGAAGUUAAAGCUGCAGUAGAAACCUGCCUCCUGCUUCACAGCACACCAGGCUGACACACAGCAGAGACCAGAAACUCCCUGCAUUUUCCUCCUCCCACACUCCAGCUCAAAGCCUUCAUAAAACCCUGAGUGAAUACACAGCUUGUGUUUGGUGAAGCAGUUUCCUUUCAGUUGUGCAGAGGGGAAGAGUAACACAUUUUACUUUCUGUUUUUCCUUCUCCCUUACCCUGCUGAUUUAAUUUCCAUCCCCUCACACGCCAUGCAGCCUGUUACAGCCAUGCUGCAGGUAGCCAUGGCAUAUUGGCAAUAAUUUCCAGACUAAUCUCCUUCAGUGUGGGGGCUCCCAUGGAUACAGAAAAACAGGGAGUCAUUUGCUUUUUACUCCCAGUGGAUCAUGGAGCUACAGGAAGGUGCCCUCUCCAGUGGCAAUCACUACCACACCCAUGCAGACUCUAUGAGGCUGGAUUAUGCUAUACAUUCCAUGGUUUAAUUUCAAGGCAAAGAUACUAAUAUGGUAUCCAAAGAUGAAUACAAAAGCAUUCUAAAAGAGUAUACAUUUUUUUUCUUUAAUAUAUUUGAAAACAGAAAUGCAUAAAAUUUCUUAAAAUGUUUCAAUGUACAAAUUUUGAGUAAAAUCACUAAAAUCUGCAGGCAAGACAGGGCUCACAUGUAGUGCUGAACCCUAAUCCAGGAAAAAAAAGUUAGUCUUUUCCCUUUAUCAACUCUGGUGGGAUUUUUUGCUUUCUGAAGAAAUAGCAUAGAUUGCCCACUGUGAUGGUUUUUUUUCUGUUUCUAGCCUCUGUUUUUUAUCUGGAUUCUUUUCCUCAAGGCUCUGUGGGGAGUCCCUACAAGUUAUCAAUAUCAAUGCAUCCCAUCCCAUGAUUCACACUCAAAUGCUGUGAUUUGGAGCAACUCCUCCUUCACCCUCAAGUUUGCAUCCCUUAUUCUUUGAGUUGUGACCUCUUCUACUCUGGUUUAGGAUCUCUCAGUAGCUUUGCACAGCUCUUCCAGAAAAGAGAAUCAUCUCAUUUUAUACCCCUUACUGCAAAAGUGAAAUACAAUAAAUCUUAGCAAAUC
rnacentral:lncRNA from 1 species